CUAAGAAUAUUCCGCAAUGGACGGAAGUCUGACGGAGCGACGCCGCGUGGAUGACGAAGGCCGAAAGGUUGUAAAGUUCUUUUGCUGGGGAAGAAUAACCGCAGGAGGGAAUGCCUGUGGGAUGACAAGAACCGGCGAAUAAGCCCCGGCCAACUACGUGCCAGCAGCCGCGGUAACACGUAGGGGGGCGAGCGUUGUUCGGAAUUACUGGGCGUAAAGGGCAUGUAGGCGGCUUGGAAAGCCUGGCGUGAAAGUCUGCAGCUUAACUGCAGGGGUGCGCUGGGAACUGCUGAGCUUGAGUGACGGAGAGGGAGCUGGAAUUCCUGGUGUAGGGGUGAAAUCUGUAGAUAUCAGGAAGAACACCGAUGGCGAAGGCAAGCUCCUGGCCGAUGACUGACGCUGAGGUGCGAAAGUGUGGGGAUCAAACAGGAUUAGAUACCCUGGUAGUCCACACAGUCAACGAUGUGCACUAGGUGCUGGGGCGGUAGCUUCGGUGCCGGAGCGAACGUGGUAAGUGCACCGCCUGGGGAGUAUGCUCGCAAGGGUGAAACUUAAAUGAUUGACGGGGUCAUAGCUGUUUCCU
rnacentral:rRNA from 1 species